rnacentral:lncRNA from 12 species
GCGGAAGGGCUUAGCCUGGCGCUGUGGGGCACCAAGAGGUUCAAGGGGAUUACAGGGUGGCCCGAAGCAGGAGGGACUGGUUAGGCCCUCGCGGCGGGAACCACAGCGACCCCAGAACACCCCCCACCCCCCACCCCCACCCCCACCCCCGUGUGUAAGUGACAUCUUGCACGGGGCAGAUCGAAGACUCCAGAACACAGAAGUCAGGGCCGGCUUUGACGUAUAGUAUCCAGACUCCCAAGACGUAGGCGUCCACCUUCCUCCCGGAGGCUGAGGGCUCUGCCCCUGCCUGACAUGUGACUGUGGGAGCAGCUUGACCGCUUUGAGUGUCAGGACACUCCACUGCUUCGUGCUUCUGGACGACUGUAACUGUGGCCAGGUUUUUUGUCAGGCAGAGAGAGCCCAGGCUCCUGGCGCUUAGUCCCAUAGGAGUUAUCUACCUGUUGGGGGCUAACCUUCCUGCUCCCCAUCCCCACAGCGCCCAGGGUGGAUACCCUCCAAUCCGGGUUCCAAAUGUACCCUCCGUUCCUUGCUUGGGGCAGCACUUACUGACCUUAGCUGCUGCUCUGAGCACCCGGGGUCUGUUCCGAACUCCCAGGGACCAGGAAAUAGGAUGGAAAACAGGGUCAUCUCUGGCAGUUGGAAUUUAGAAUCAGUUUACUCCAUUUACACAAACAGGGCGCCUGCUCCUGUCACCUCCUCUAAUAGACUGGCAUUUGUUAGCCUUUGGCUGCCCUUGCUGGUCACCAGAAUCGGCUUGCAGUUGGAGAGAGCUGUGCAAGUCCUUUGGGCCUUUCACAGAAAGAUAAGAGAGCCAACCAGGGUCUUCAGGAUCCACUCCUGCUUGCUGUCGCUAAGGAAAGAGAGAGGAUAG